GGAAAGCGGAGUUGAAGGCUAUUAUCACUGAUGUAAUAAAUAACAUGAGUGAUGAGGAAGAUGGUGAUGACUCUGAAGCUGAGAAAGAUGAAAAUAAUGAAGGCGGUGACCCUGAGGCUGAGAAUGAUGAAAAAAAUGAGGGUGAUGAUCCUGAGACUGAGAAUGAUGAAGAAAAAAUUGAAGGUGAUGACCCUGAGGCUGAGUGCGAUGAAGACAAAAAUGAAGUUGAUGAUAGUGAUGCUUAGUUUACGAGUCAAGUAGAAGGAUAGGUAUUAGGUGCU
rnacentral:lncRNA from 1 species